rnacentral:rRNA from 2 species
CGCGAUAUCCGGUGGUCCAGGCCGUCGAGAAAAGCCUCGGCGCGAGGGGCGUCGCCGCCCGUACCCCAAACCGACACUGGUGGUCAGGUAGAGAAUACCAAGGCGAUCGAGCGAAUCCUGGUCAAGGAACUCGGCAAAUCACUCCCGUGCCUUCGGUAUAAGGGAGACCCCCGGGCGUGAAGAGGCUUGCCCUCGGAGCGUUGGGGGGUGGCACAGACCAGGGGGUAGCGACUGUUUACCAAAAACACAGGUGCAUGCGAAGGCGCAAGCCGCUGUAUAUGCACUGACGCCUGCCCGGUGCCGGAAGGUUAAGAGGAUCCGUCAG